CGCAUUGUCCUGGGGCGCCUGGCUGGCUUAGUUAGUACAACAUACAACUCUUUAUCUUGGGGUCAUGAGCUCAAGCCCCACAUUGGGUGUAGAGAUUACU